rnacentral:tRNA from 1 species
GUUGAAAUAGCAAAGUGGAAAUGCAUGAAAUUUAGGAUUUUACAUCGAGAGUUCGAAUCUUUCUUUUAAUU